AAGCAUUCUCUGGUGUUGAAGGCCCUGCAAAGCAGCAUCGCGGUGGCGGAGCGUCGUUUGCGACGCCCAACACACAAAACAAGCGGUGAGUGCUUUGGGGUGGGGUGACUGCGUACCUUUUGUAUAAUGGGUCAGCGACUUAUAUUCUGUAGCAAGGUUAACCGAAUAGGGGAGCCGGAGGGAAACCGAGUCUUAAUUGGGCGUUAAGUUGCAGGGUAUAGACCCGAAACCCGGUGAUCUAGCCAUGGGCAGGUUGAAGGUUGGGUAACACUAACUGGAGGACCGAACCGACUAAUGUUGAAAAAUUAGCGGAUGACCUGUGGCUGGGGGUGAAAGGCCAAUCAAACCGGGAGAUAGCUGGUUCUCCCCGAAAGCUAUUUAGGUAGCGCCUCGUGAAUUCAUCUCCGGGGGUAGAGCACUGUUUCGGCUAGGGGGCCAUCCCGGCUUACCAACCCGAUGCAAACUGCGAAUACCGGAGAAUGUUAUCACGGGAGACACACGGCGGGUGCUAACGUCCGUCGUGAAGAGGGAAACAACCCAGACCGCCAGCUAAGGUCCCAAAGUCAUGGUUAAGUGGGAAACGAUGUGGGAAGGCCCAGACAGCCAGGAUGUUGGCUUAGAAGCAGCCAUCAUUUAAAGAAAGCGUAAUAGCUCACUGGUCGAGUCGGCCUGCGCGGAAGAUGUAACGGGGCUAAACCAUGCACCGAAGCUGCGGCAGCGAACGUAUCACUUAAAGCGAUUCAGCGGGUUACGAUUAACGGAGCGAAGCGACGUCAAAGCGUAUACAAAGUCGAGUCGGUUUAAGGAUACGUUCGUUGGGUAGGGGAGCGUUCUGUAAGCCUGUGAAGGUGG
rnacentral:rRNA from 1 species